rnacentral:sRNA from 1 species
UUUUUAAAGACUUUAUGAUCCAUUUGCCGUGGGUCCUACCAGCUAUGUAGAAAUACCCUAUCUUCUUUAUAAGAGCUUUCAUUCACGCAAAA